rnacentral:rRNA from 1 species
GAACGCUGGCGGCAUGCCUAACACAUGCAAGUCGAACGGUAACGCGGAGAGCUUGCUCUCUGGCGACGAGUGGCGGACGGGUGAGUAAUACUUGGGAAUCUGCCCAGUAGUGGGGGACAACAUUCGGAAACGGAUGCUAAUACCGCAUACGCACUACGGUGGAAAGUGGGGGAUCUUCGGACCUCACGCUAUUGGAUGAGCCCAAGUCGGAUUAGCUUGUUGGUGAGGUAAUAGCUCACCAAGGCGACGAUCCGUAGCUGGUCUGAGAGGACGAUCAGCCACACUGGGACUGAGACACGGCCCAGACUCCUACGGGAGGCAGCAGUGGGGAAUAUUGGACAAUGGGCGCAAGCCUGAUCCAGCAAUGCCGCGUGUGUGAAGAAGGCCUGCGGGUUGUAAAGCACUUUCAGUAGAGAAGAAAAGCCUAGGGUUAAUACCCCUGAGUCUUGACGUAACCUACAGAAGAAGCACCGGCUAACUCCGUG